CACGUAGGGGCGAGCGUUAUCCGGAAUUACUGGGCGUAGAGGGUGCGUAGGUGGUUUCUUAAGUCAGAGGUGAAAGGCUACGGCUCAACCGUAGUAAGCCUUUGAAACUGGGAAACUUGAGUGCAGGAGAGGAGAGUGGAAUUCCUAGUGUAGCGGUGAAAUGCGUAGAUAUUAGGAGGAACACCAGUUGCGAAGGCGGCUCUCUGGACUGUAACUGACACUGAGGCACGAAAGCGUGGGGAGCAAACAGGAUUAGAUACCCCGGUAGUCGCGAGCGGG
rnacentral:rRNA from 1 species